rnacentral:rRNA from 1 species
AUUGAACGCUGGCGGCAUGCUUUACACAUGCAAGUCGAACGGCAGCGCGGGCUUCGGCCUGGCGGCGAGUGGCGAACGGGUGAGUAAUGCAUCGGAACGUGCCCAGUAGUGGGGGAUAGCCCGGCGAAAGCCGGAUUAAUACCGCAUACGACCUGCGGGUGAAAGCGGGGGACCGAAAGGCCUCGCGCUAUUGGAGCGGCCGAUGUCGGAUUAGCUAGUUGGUGGGGUAAAGGCUUACCAAGGCGACGAUCCGUAGCUGGUCUGAGAGGACGGCCAGCCACACUAGGACGGAGACACGGCCCAGGCUCCUACGGGAGGCAGCAGUGGGGAAUUUUGGGCAAUGGGGGCAACCCUGAUCCAGCCAUGCCGCGUGCGGGAAGAAGGCCUUCGGGUUGUAAACCGCUUUUGUUCGGGAAGAAAUCCUCUGGGCUAAUACCCCGGGGGGAUGACGGUACCGGAAGAAUAAGCACCGGCUAACUACGUG